AGUUGUAAAGCGUAGGUUCAGUGAGUGUCAGUAAGGUAGUACUGCGUUCAUCCUUGUGGCACUGACACCUCCCUGCCAAACUCACUCACAACCUCCCCCAACCUCCAGCCCACACCAACCCCUCGACAUCUCUGCUACAACAACUACAACUACAACAACAGCAGCAGCCAUGGAGGGUGACCUGAGCAAAGCUGACUCCAGAGCUGUCUUCUUCACCGUCCAUGACAUGGGCAGCAACCAUUCGUCGUGGGUGGAGUUCGUGGAGCACCCGGUGAUGAAGGAGACCAAGGACCGCUCGGUCUUCAUUCACGUCGACAUACCCGGCCAGGAGGACGGCGCCCCGGACCUGCCCAACGAGUGAGUACUUACUGCGUUGCUUCUCUUACUCAUUACUCA